rnacentral:ncRNA from 1 species
GCAAAGAUAAAAACACAGCCUGGUUGGUAGUCCAGGCGCAGCGAUGAUGCUGCCAGUAGCCCUCCUCCUUGGUCGUCCCUUCUUUGUGCUAUU